rnacentral:rRNA from 1 species
UACAGAGGUCUCAAGCGUUGUUCGGAUUCAUUGGGCGUAAAGGGUGCGUAGGCGGCGGGGCAAGUCUGAUGUGAAAUCCCGGGGCUCAACCCCGGAACUGCAUUGGAUACUGCCCUGCUUGAGCACUGGAGAGGAGACUGGAAUUUACGGUGUAGCAGUGAAAUGCGUAGAGAUCGUAAGGAAGACCAGUGGCGAAGGCGAGUCUCUGGACAGUUGCUGACGCUGAGGCACGAAGGCCAGGGGAGCAAACGGG